GUCACCUUCUGUACGAAGUCUUCCUAAUUUCCCCCUGGCGGGAUGAAUUAAUGACUCUGUCCUCUGGCUGUUCCCAGAAUUUCAGAUGAUCACACAGGAAAUGCUACCUCAGAGAUUGUCUGAAAUUGCCGCUUCACGCUUGGACUUCAGGGCUCUGUAGCCCCACGCGUCUGCCCUGGAGAAAGUCCUCAUUUUCUUCCACUUGGAGUAUCUCAAGAACCUCUUUCACCACCCUCUGUUUUGCAUUGUAAGCUCUUUCCAAAAUCAAAGCAUCCACCAAUCCAUAAACAUUCUGUCAACUUU